rnacentral:lncRNA from 10 species
UUGGAGUCACUACUAAGCUGAGGCCACAGCAGAAAGACCACUACAUUUUGCAUGACCUAGGGGCUCCAUGCCAGCCUGUCUGCACCAGAGCCCUUUCAAAGCACGUGGUUUAGUUCAGGGCUCACAUUGGAUGUUGCCUGGUGUUGUUUGGCCAGCAAGGAAAAUGCGCCAAGCCCUGGAUCGCUCCUUUGGGACUUCAUCAGCUGCAAACCCUCA